rnacentral:rRNA from 1 species
UACGGAGGAUCCGAGCGUUAUCCGGAUUUAUUGGGUUUAAAGGGUGCGCAGGCGGGAAAUUAAGUCGGCGGUGAAAUUUUGCAGCUCAACUGUAAAAGUGCCUUCGAAACUGGUUUCCUUGAGUGUGGAUGAAGUAGGCGGAAUUUGUGGUGUAGCGGUGAAAUGCAUAGAUAUCACGAGGAACUCCGAUUGCGCAGGCAGCUUACUAAACUACUACUGACGCUCAGGCACGAAGGCGUGGGGAUCAAACAGGAUUAGAUACCCUGGUAGU